AACGAACGCUGGCGGCAGGCCUAACACAUGCAAGUCGAGCGAAGCCUUCGGGCUUAGCGGCGGACGGGUGAGUAACGCGUGGGAACGUGCCCUUUGGUACAGAAUAGCCCCGGGAAACUGGGAGUAAUACCGUAUGUGGUCGAGAGACGAAAGAUUUAUCGCCAAAGGAUCGGCCCGCGUUGGAUUAGGUAGUUGGUGGGGUAAUGGCCUACCAAGCCGACGAUCCAUAGCUGGUUUGAGAGGAUGAUCAGCCACACUGGGACUGAGACACGGCCCAGACUCCUACGGGAGGCAGCAGUGGGGAAUCUUAGACAAUGGGGGAAACCCUGAUCUAGCCAUGGCGCGUGAUCGAUGAAGGCCUUAGGGUUGUAAAGAUCUUUCAGUGGGGAAGAUAAUGGCUGUACCCACAGAAGAAGCCCCGGCUAACUCCGUGCCAGCCGCCGCCGUAACAC
rnacentral:rRNA from 1 species